UGUCGGAUUUUAGACUUCUAUAUAUUGUUGGAAUCCUCUCGUUAAGGCCUUCCCGAAAACAUAUGUCUUGUCAGGUUUUGAACACAUUGACCAGAGGGCGUUUUCAUCCUUUAAAAUUUGACUUUAACCGUUUAAGCCUCUAAAAAUAUAGAAGUGGUUUACCCUAAGGGUUUUGACCAUUCUAAAUCCAUUUUUUUGUAGUUUGAGGCAAUACGGAGACUCGAGAACGCAGUUUUGAUUAAUUGGGAAGUGUGCUUGAAUUGUGAAUUUGAGAUACUGUCAUUGAGAACGAGGCUGGUAAUUGAAGACUUCGUGAGUGGAUUUUGUUGCUGAGGUGAGCCACCGCAUUGUUCGUGAAGGCAGCCAUUUCAGCUUUAUCUAGUUUAUUUCUAGUUAUUUCUUUUAUUUUGGGUUUACAUGCCCGACACUCAAACUCUUGUAACUCUGUUAGAUGCUCCAUGGUCUUAGCGUGGGAUGUGGGCUAGAGAUUCUUUUUAUCUUAGCGUUGGUUGAUUUUCAUAAAUCGAUUAUGGAUUUGGUUGGCGAUUAUUUCGCAUUUUUAUCAUUAAUAACGUUGUUGGACCUGCACU